rnacentral:rRNA from 1 species
GGGUUGUGAGGUUAAGCGACUAAGCGUACACGGUGGAUGCCCUGGCAGUCAGAGGCGAUGAAGGACGUGCUAAUCUGCGAUAAGCGUCGGUAAGGUGAUAUGAACCGUUAUAACCGGCGAUUUCCGAAUGGGGAAACCCAGUGUGAUUCGUCCCACUAUCAUUAACUGAAUCCAUAGGUUAAUGAGGCGAACCGGGGGAACUGAAACAUCUAAGUACCCCGAGGAAAAGAAAUCAACCGAGAUUCCCCCAGUAGCGGCGAGCGAACGGGGAG